AUUGAACGCUGGCGGCAUGCCUUACACAUGCAAGUCGAACGGUAACAGGUCUUCGGAUGCCGACGAGUGGCGAACGGGUGAGUAAUACAUCGGAACGUGCCCGAUCGCGGGGGAUAACUACUCGAAAGAGUAGCUAAUACCGCAUACGAUCUACGGAUGAAAGCGGGGGAUCUUCGGACCUCGUGCGGACGGAGCGGGCGAUGGCAGAUUAGGUAGUUGGUGGGAUAAAAGCUUACCAAGCCGACGAUCUGUAGCUGGUCUGAGAGGACGACCAGCCACACUGAGACUGAGACACGGCCCAGACUCCUACGGGAGGCAGGAGUGGGGGAUUUUGGACAAUGGGCGAAAGCCUGAUCCAGCAAUGCCGCGUGCAGGAUGAAUGCCUUCGGGUUGUAAACUGCUUUUGUACGGAACGAAAAGACUCCUUCUAAUACAGGGGGUCCAUGACGGUACCGUAAGAAUAAGCACCGGCUAACUACGUGCCAGCCGCCGCCGUAAGAC
rnacentral:rRNA from 1 species